UACGUAGGGAGCAAGCGUUGUCCGGAAUCAUUGGGCGUAAAGCGCGCGUAGGCGGCCCUGUAAGUCCGUUGUGAAAGUCAAAGGCUCAACCUUUGAAAGCCGAUGGAUACUGCAGGGCUAGAGUCCGGAAGAGGCGAGUGGAAUUCCUGGUGUAGCGGUGGAAUGCGCAGAUAUCAGGAGGAACACCGAUGGCGAAGGCAGGUCACUGGGCCGCAACUGACGCUGAGGAGCGAAAGCAUGGGGAGCGAACAGG
rnacentral:rRNA from 1 species